UACGGAGGGUGCAAGCGUUAUCCGGAUUCACUGGGUUUAAAGGGUGCGUAGGUGGGCAGGUAAGUCAGUGGUGAAAUCCCCGAGCUUAACUUGGGAACUGCCGUUGAUACUAUCUGUCUUGAAUAUCGUGGAGGUUAGCGGAAUAUGUCAUGUAGCGGUGAAAUGCAUAGAGAUGACAUAGAACACCAAUUGCGAAGGCAGCUGGCUACACGGUAAUUGACACUGAGGCACGAAAGCGUGGGGAGCAAACGGG
rnacentral:rRNA from 1 species